CAGGUAGAUGGCCUAAUGGCUGGGCGCCUCUUUUGGGAAGGGGAGUACGGAGUUCGAAUCUCCACUGCUUGA
rnacentral:tRNA from 2 species